GGAUGAACAGAGGAAUUGGCGCCUGGGCCGUUUUACUGGGCCCACCAGCUGCCUCAAGUGUCCGCUGGCUGGCCACAGGCAUGAAUUCUGUUUGGGGCAUGAAGGCUAAACCAGGCAGCCUGUCCCCAGGAUGCUCUGCCCUAAUGGAGGAGAAAAGCAGCCCACCUGUGGGUCAUCACAAAACCGCAAGAGAAAUGCCUGCGGGGGAGGGUCCAGGGAGGGGAGGGCGUCACUAAACUGUCUUUGUCAGGGCCACCAAUGCCCUCCGUCUCACCCACAACAAAGGGCAUCUUUCAGGAUUUGUUUCACGGCUCCUCUCAGGAGUGCUGGGCAUGGCGGCCCAUCCUGUCUUCCUGAGAACACCACUGGGCUCUCCCUCCUUCCGGGGACUCCUCCCCCUCCAGACAGAAACCAGUUCUCAGAGGUGAUGAGUUCAUGUCCGGACGUGAUGCUGUGUGCUUCGUGUGUCACUACCUCUCAUGAGGCUAAGCUGGGCCAGCAGGCUCAGGCGGUGACAGCCCUGUCCUUCCAUUGUGGAAGUCUGCGGAGAGGAAGUCGCCGCCAAAGUGCACGCAGUGACAGGGGCACCUCCAGAGGACCCUUCUCCAGAGACUGCAGGGUGC